rnacentral:rRNA from 1 species
AAUGAACGCUGGCGGCAUGCCUAACACAUGCAAGUCGAACGAGACCUUCGGGUCUAGUGGCGCACGGGUGCGUAACGCGUGGGAAUCUGCCCCUUGGUUCGGAAUAACUCAGAGAAAUUUGAGCUAAUACCGGAUAAUGACGUAAGUCCAAAGAUUUAUCGCCUAGGGAUGAGCCCGCGUAGGAUUAGCUAGUUGGUGGGGUAAAAGCCUACCAAGGCGACGAUCCUUAGCNGGUCUGAGAGGAUGAUCAGCCACACUGGGACUGAGACACGGCCCAGACUCCUACGGGAGGCAGCAGUGGGGAAUAUUGGACAAUGGGCGAAAGCCUGAUCCAGCAAUGCCGCGUGAGUGAUGAAGGCCUUAGGGUUGUAAAGCUCUUUUACCCGGGAAGAUAAUGACUGUACCGGGAGAAUAAGCCCC